GAUGAACGCUGGCGGCGUGCCUAAUACAUGCAAGUCGAGCGAACGGACGAGAAGCUUGCUUUUCUGAUGUUAGCGGCGGACGGGUGAGUAACACGUGGAUAACCUACCUAUAAGACUGGGAUAACUUCGGGAAACCGGAGCUAAUACCGGAUAAUAUUUUGAACCGCAUGGUUCAAAAGUGAAAGACGGUCUUGCUGUCACUUAUAGAUGGAUCCGCGCUGCAUUAGCUAGUUGGUAAGGUAACGGCUUACCAAGGCAACGAUGUAUAGCCGACCUGAGAGGGUGAUCGGCCACACUGGAACUGAGACACGGUCCAGACUCCUACGGGAGGCAGCAGUAGGGAAUCUUCCGCAAUGGGCGAAAGCCUGACGGAGCAACGCCGCGUGAGUGAUGAAGGUCUUCGGAUCGUAAAACUCUGUUAUUAGGGAAGAACAUAUGUGUAAGUAACUGUGCACAUCUUGACGGUACCUAAUCAGAAAGCCACGGCUAACUACGUG
rnacentral:rRNA from 1 species